UCGUAUGAUCCCGUUGAUUAUGAGUCAAUUGAUAAAACAGAAUUUUGGGUGGUUGAAGAAGAACAAGAAGGGGAGCUUGAUUAUGAGGAGUUAGAGGAAGAGCUUGAAGAACUUCCAAUUCAUGGUCAAUGUUCAAAUUCUGAACAACUUGAAGAUAAUGAAGAUGAAGCAGAAGAUGUUGAUUUAGAAACAUUUCAGCGUCGAAACUUUUUUAAUGAUGAAGAUGAUGAUUGGCAUUAAAUGUUCAAAUGUGAUUCAUAUAAUGGUUUUGGAUGAUGAUGACGAC